AUGUCGCUGACAGUAACACGGCAAAAGGGGUUAGUUGUUUUACUGACGGAGUUCCAAACUUUUGAGGACAAGUCCAGUGCCAUUAAUCAGAACACUGGUGUCAGUGAAAGACUUGCUGAGAUGAUCAGGGUGUGGCUCCCUGGGAAGAAAAUGGCAGUCGGAAAGCCUGAAUAUAAGAAAAUCACUGAAGAGAGAUUGGAAAUAGAAUGCCUGUAUAAUGAACGGGUGAUGGAGGUAAUGUGGGGCAUACAGAAUUGCAUGCCAGGUUUGAUACCUAUAGAAAAAUCACAGCUGGCUAAAGAGGACCGCCUCCCGAGUAAGGGAUUGCAAGAAUUCUUGAAGUGUUAUGGCUGCAAUGUCAAACCAGAGAUGGUCAAUGAACAAAUUGUUGCGACGGCUUCCACAUUGUCUGCGUGUGAUUAUGUUGAGAAGAAAUAUUCUCUAGUCUUGCGCGAAGCAGGUGCUGUCAUUAAGGAUGUGUCUGGCAUCAGCUGUGAGGGUUGGAGCUUACUGGACAUUGCAACAGCUCUGAAGAUUAUAUGGAAGCCUAAAAAAGUUGGCAAUUCUUCUCUGGUUUCAAAAGAUGAGGCACUAAGAUUGGUGAACGAUGCAUCUAAAUAUGAAGCUCUGGUGAAUAAGUAUCCUUGUUUUCGAGCCUACAAAGACAUGUCGAAAGCUCAUGAUGAUAGGAUCUCGAAAGAACUACUGAAAUCAUUGGUUGAGGGCCUGAAGAAACCAUAA
rnacentral:rRNA from 1 species